rnacentral:rRNA from 1 species
GUAUAUGAGGUGAUUAAUUGGAGGGCAAAUCAAGUGCCAGCAGCCGCGGUGAUACUUGUUCCAAGGGUGUGUAUGAUGAUUGAUGCAGUUAAAAAGUCCGUAGUUUAUUUUUUUAAGAAGCAAUAUGAGGUGUACUGUAUAGUUGGGAGAAAGAUGAAAUGUGACGACCCUGACUGGACGAACAGAAGCGAAAGCUGUACACUUGUAUGUAUUUUUUGAACAAGGACGUAAGCUGGAGGAGCGAAGAUGAUUAGAUACCAUUGUAGUUCCAGCAGUAAACUAUGCCGACGAUGUGAUAUGGAAAUGUUAAUUUGUAUUACAUAAUAGAAAUUUGAGUUUUUUGGCUCUGGGGAUAGUAUGAUCGCAAGAUUGAAAAUUAAAGAAAUUGACGGAAGAAUACCACAAGGAGUGGAUUGUGCGGCUUAAUUUGACUCAACGCGAGGUAACUUACCAAUAUUUUAUUAUUUUGAGAGAACGGUUUUUGUUUGAGAAUGAUAAUAGUGGUGCAUGGCCGUUUUCAAUGGAUGCUGUGAAGUUUUGAUUAAUUUCAACAAGACGUGAGACCCUUAUUUUUUAUUAAAGACAGACACAAUCAGUGUAGGAAGGAAAGGAUUAAAGCAGGUCCGUUAUGCCCUCUGACAUUUUGGGCUGCACGCGCAAUACAA